rnacentral:rRNA from 1 species
UACGAAGGGGGCUAGCGUUGUUCGGAAUUACUGGGCGUAAAGCGCGCGCAGGCGGUCUUUCAAGUCAGUGGUGAAAGCCCGGAGCUCAACUCCGGAAAUGCCAUUGAAACUGUUAGACUUGAGGAUGAGAGAGGUGAGUGGAAUUCCCAGUGUAGAGGUGAAAUUGGUAGAUAUUGGGAAGAACACCGGUGGCGAAGGCGGCUCACUGGCUCAUUUCUGACGCUCAGGCGCGACAGCGUGGGGAUCAAACAGG